GACGUAGGGCGCGAGCGUUGUCCGGAUUUAUUGGGCGUAAAGAGCUCGUAGGCGGCUUGUUGCGUCGACCGUGAAAACCCGGGGCUCAACUUCGGGCUUGCGGUCGAUACGGGCGGGCUAGAGUUCGGUAGGGGAGACUGGAAUUCCUGGUGUAGCGGUGAAAUGCGCAGAUAUCAGGAGGAACACCGAUGGCGAAGGCAGGUCUCUGGGCAUUAACUGACGCUGAGGAGCGAAAAGCAUGGGGAGCGAACAGG
rnacentral:rRNA from 1 species